rnacentral:miRNA from 1 species
AUAUAUGUGUGUGUGUGUGUGUGUGUGUGUGUAUAUAUAUAUGUGUGUGUGUGUGUAUAUAUAUAUAUAUACACACACACACACACACACACACAG